GACGAACGCUGGCGGCGUGCUUAACACAUGCAAGUCGAACGGAAAGGCCCUGCUUUCGCGUGGUGCUAGCGUCGCGAACGGGAGUGUAACCCGUGGGUCACCUGCCCUUGACUUUGGGAUGACUUCAGGAAACUGCUGCUAAUACCGGAUACGUGCUCCUGCUGCAUGGUGGGGUUUGGAAAGUAUCGGCGGUAGGGGAUAGACGCGCGGGUUAUUAGCUUGUUGGUUGAGGAGUGGCCUACCCAGGCUUAGACGGAUAGUCGGCAUGAGAGGGUGGACGGCGACAUGGGGACUACGAGACGGAGCAGACGGGUAUGGUAGGCAGCAGUGGGGAGUAUGGCACAAUGAGGGGGAGCGUGAGGAGACAGCGCUGCGAGUGGGAUGACGGCCUUCUGGUGGUAAACCGCAGUCGCCUGUGACGAAGCGGUAGUGACGGUAAUGGGUAAAGAAGCACCGGCUAACUACGUG
rnacentral:rRNA from 1 species